CAAAUUGGAGCCUCAGCGGCGUGCAGGCCGAUGAUUUAUGUUGUUAGAAAUGACGAUUUUUGUUGUGGUUCCUGUGUCAAAGCCAUUUUUGCUUCCAUAAAUUUUGCUUUACUUAAAAGAAAAUCAAAGGAACUGAAGUGGGCAAGUCUCUGGCAGACUCUCACAGGAAAUGCUCAGUAAAAUCAGAGAUGAGAAAAGGCCCGUUGUAGGGAACGAGCAAGAUUGAAGGACCACCUGUCCAGGAGUGGCACCAUCACAGAGGGCUGGGACUGCAUACAUCAAUCAACAAUCAAGAAAAUAACACACAGGCGUGACUUCAGCCCUGCAGGAUGGAGGUGUCGUGGGAAUCUUUUUGGAAUAAGUAGUCCUACAUCAGUGAAAGUGGAAGAAAGCAGAUGUCAUUGGCAGGCCAAAGCCAGGACAAUUCCUGAAAGGCCUCAGUGUCGGGUCCAGACUGCAUUUGUGUUUUAUACACAAAAAACAAUGUGGAAUGAUCUUCAAAGGCUAAGGACACAUUACCUCAGUUGUCAGGGAAUGAAAGCAAGAGGCCCAGGGAGGUCAACUCAUUUACCCAAGAUCAAAGAGCUUGUCAACUAAGGCACAAGAAGUCAACCUAUCACUCACAGGGAUGUUAGCUUUAAUCACUCGGUUAAGGCGAUUUUCUAGCCGUGAAGGCCUCUUUCACGUCAG